rnacentral:lncRNA from 1 species
GCUGUCUUUAAUACUUAAACUUUGUCCCAUAUAAUAGUAAGAUCAUGCUCUCUAGCCCUCUGCAUCAAAGCUGUGUCCACUUCCCUUUUACAGGCUGUGUUUAUAUGCCCUUUAACUCUUUUUUCUAUAAGCCUACAAGUAAACUCAAUAUUGUAUUCAUCAUUCCCAAGACUAUAUUAUUGAAGUAUAGGACCUCAUAUACCUGGAACACUUCCCAAUUUUAUCUUUAUUACUCUCUAUGUGAUUGAAACCUGUGCUACUCCUGCUAAGUGCUAUCAAACUCCUAGCAUGCUUUUCUAAAAAUGUCUUUUGCCUACUGGUGAUGAGAUUAAGAUUUAUCCCUUUAUGUACAGGCUUAGUUUUCAGAGUAUGUAUUUCAAUUGUUUAAAACUCUUAAAAUUCCUAAAAGGAACGUAUAAGAGUUAAUGG